GGCUGCAAAACAGGGAUAAAAAAUUUCUGACCUUUCGGUACUAAAAUACCUAUAAGUUCCUGCUGGAAAUUCUGAUUUGUACAAAACUGACUUCAUUCGAAACUAGACUUGUAAACCUUUCUUUUGACACAUAGAGUGAUAAAUUUGGAAUUCAUAUGCCUAUCCUGUUAUCUGUUGAACCCGACCCUAUGAAUUCUGCAGAACAGUGAUUUUGUUUUGACCUUUGAUUACUAAAUCCAUGGUAACUCCGUGUUGGAAACCCUGUUUCAUAUGAAAUUUGUUCCAUCAGAAUAUAGAUUGAUAUAUUGUUCGACCAUAGCUUUCUUGGGGGUAUUGGAGCAUAAUUGAUAUUCUGAAGUAUUUGUUCGAUGUGCCACUUGAAUUCUGUCAGAAAUCCAGCUUUGGUC
rnacentral:lncRNA from 1 species